GAUGAACGCUGGCGGCGUGCCUAAUACAUGCAAGUCGAGCGAACAGACGAGGAGCUUGCUCCUCUGACGUUAGCGGCGGACGGGUGAGUAACACGUGGAUAACCUACCUAUAAGACUGGGAUAACUUCGUGAAACCGGAGCUAAUACCGGAUAAUAUAUUGAACCGCAUGGUUCAAUAGUGAAAGACGGUUUUGCUUUCACUUAUAUAUGGAUCCGCGCCUCAUUAGCUAGUUGGUAAGGUAACGGCUUACCAAGGCAACGAUGCGUAGCCGACCUGAGAGGGUGAUCGGCCACACUGGAACUGAGACACGGUCCAGACUCCUACGGGAGGCAGCAGUAGGGAAUCUUCCGCAAAGGGCGAAAGCGUGACGGAGCAACGCCGCGUGAGUGAUGAAGGUCUUCGGAUCGUAAAACUCUGUUAUUAGGGAAGAACAAAUGUGUAAGUAACUAUGCACGUCUUGACGGUACCUAAUCAGAAAGCCACGGCUAAAUACGUG
rnacentral:rRNA from 1 species